GUGUGUGAGAGAGAGAGAGAGAGAGAGAGAGAGAGAGAGAGAGAGAGAGAGAGAGGACAACUUGUAGAAGUUGGAUCUCUCCUUCCACCAAGCUGGUACUGAAGACAGAAUUUAGGUUGUCCGACUUGAUGGCAAGCACGUUUACAUGCUUAGCUAUCUUGCCAGCUGCUCCAACUAUUACCAGUUCACAGUUGGCUGAAUGUGGGUAUGGGCCACUCGGGGGUAGGCAGUGCUGACUGUAAACCUUGCAAGCCUGGCUAUGCUGGGAUGUUCCCUGCAGGGCAUCAGUGUCGGAAGCAUUCAAGGUGUCAGGAUUGGAGACUACAGAAAACAGGUGCUGUCAGUUGUAACCUCCUUGUAGAGCCAUUGGGAAGAAUGCAUUUCCCCUGCGUAUCAGAGGGCACAGGGCUCUGUCUGCUGCCUCUUCCAAGGUGAAAACCUUUCGGUUGAAGAAUCUCUUCACUGAGAUCUCAGAAGAAACUGCCUGGUUACACUGGUUUGCCCAACAGGUUUUCAGGUGGCGCGAACAUCUACUUGUCCAAAACAGGGCCAGACAGGAUCAGUCUCCAUUGGUAGCAUGGAGAACGUUCUGUGUAACGGACAGCAACAUUCAGUCUGCGACGGGGCAGACCUUGGUUUUUGCCAUUUAUGAGACUGUUUCCUGCUUCCUGCCUUGUGGAAGUUCAGGCUUGUGUUCCUUUGUUUAGAAGACAUAUGGAAAUAAUCCCCUAGCCAAGGCACAGGAUGCCAUCUGGGGCUCUGCAUUCUUGGGAUUCACACAAGGAAGAAGAGUGUACCUGGGGUAGCCCUGCCCUCUCGCUCUGCUUCAUGGGAGACAUGAGUGACUUAAGGGGAAUUUAAUACCUAUUUCGCAAACUUAAAAAUUAGUUAGAAGCAAAGGAGGGAUUUCAGACGGGGUCAUUAGUUUCUGUUUGCAAAAGGAAUUGAUUGGGUCUUGGUUUCGCAGUUGAAAGUCAAACAGCAAUUGAACAAACAAAAGGAAAACCAGCACCUUUGGUUCCCAGCAGCACUCACUGAGCGGACAUACUGACACUGUGAUUUUAAUAACACGUCAUUUACUUAAACCAAAAUCAGUGUAACCUUUCAAAGAGUGGGUUCCAAAGAUUUAAAAAAAAAAGUCAUGUUCUCAACAAACUUUUUUUUUCAAUUUCUUUAAAAAAAAAAAAACAACUAAAUUAUAUUUUCCAGGAAAGGGGGUUUAGACUCUAACAUGGAAACUGUUCACUUCAUAACUCCUCCACCUCUUUUUCACCUCCUCCUUCAUCUCUUUCUUCCUUCUCCCUCUCAUCCUCCUCCUCUUCCUCCACUUUCACUUUCUUAUCCUUCAUUUUUCUAGGCAGGGUCUCUCCACGUAGCCCAGACACUAGACUUGAAUUCUUGAUCCUCCUGCCUUAGCUGGAGUUCGUUAACUUCAGAUUCUUACCUUCAAAAGCGAACUCAGUUUGGGAGAUUGAUUGAAAUGCUGUAGAGCCUGGGUAAGAUAAAACUGAGCGGCGAAAAGGCAAGAAAUGUGCUCAGGUUAAAUGAGCAGUGUGCGCAUGUCCAGUCAUGAGGUCUUCGUGGCUCUCAGGGAUUCGGUAAGGUGACCAUUUUGUUUCUCAGGUUCAACACAUCUUGUGUUAUUUGGGGACUGGCACAGAUCUUGCUUAUGGACAAAGUCAGAAAAGACGCCUGUCUGUCUACUCUUUUCCAACUCUGUUGCAUGUAGGUGAAGGGGUUUUGCCAAGAAUGUGGAGGAAGCUAGGAAGGUGGCACUGAGGACACAGCGGCCAGACUCUUUCAGACCACUGAUGAGCGCAAGUCCACUUUGGAAGCAUAAAACCCAGAUGAAAAUGCCAAGUGGCCAUUAAUUAGCCUACGUGAACUAGGGGAAGAAGCAGAGGUGGUAUUGGAGACACUGAACACAGGCCUGCAUCUGAGAGCCCAGCCCAUCCUUUAGUAAUUGUGCUGCCGUGUCUAGGCAGGGAGCUGUAGUCCUGACAGUGGGUCUAGAAUGGCUGCUUCCGGUGAAUUCCAGUCUUUCUCCGGGGAGUGUGACCACGGGCUACCCAAGGUGACAGUUGGCCUUACUCCUGCGCACUUCCCAUGGUAUGUAAAGAGAAAGUGUCUUUUUUUUUUUUUUUUUUUUUUAACUAGCAAAUUCUUGAACCCUACGGAUCUCUGCUCCAGUUGAGAAAGCGCUGACUUUGUCUGCCAUAGUUAAAAGUUGUUCUGUUGUUGUUUUUGUUAAUAAGUUAGUAGCCCUUUUCUUGUAAACCACAGCAGGGAGCGAACAUUUGUGCCCUGUUAGUAAAGGCAGCUCAGAGCACCAAGGGCUCUGAGAGGUAGCGAAUCCUCUAGUGGUUUUAAGAGUGUGUCUGAAAAUAGUGCUUGCCAGACCCACCGCUUCUCUGAAGUUUGUAAAGAAAAUUAAAUUAGCACCUGGCUAUGAGAGUGUAUGUUUUUUAAGCGUCUCUGGUGCAAGCGUUUUGUUUGUUUCUUUUAAGACUUCCAUUUUUUCCAAUGGCAAAAUUUCUAAUUCUUUAGGUUGCAAGCUUGACAUACAUAGUAUGUGGCUGACCCUUUCAGAUCGCCACAUUCUGAAUGUUUAAACGGCUACAAGUAAGGGCGUUUGAAGACGUCAGCAGGAGGCCAGUGCUCACAGCCAUCCACCACGACUAACCUGCAAGCCAAGAGAAAGUCUGGAAUCCAACCCAAAGCACGGAUUUGUCUAUCAGCGUUUACGAGCGCCGACUUCCCUUGCUCCUUACAGCUCUUGGUCCCUGCGCAUCGAAAGACUUCUCUCUACCUGGAACUUCGGGAUCAUGAUGGUUGUAGCUCUUUGGAAUGGGGCGGCAUGGCAACUGGGGUAGACAACCUUUUUAAGUUUAUUCAUUUGCUAGAGGAGGAAACCCUGUGCUGGGAACACGUGAACCCUGUACGGGAGCGAGGGGAGAGCCCCGAAAUAUGACGCGCUGGGCUAAACUAGACAGAUAUGUAUGUAGCCUUCGAAGGGGUGGCAGGGAACCGGAACUCUUCUCUGGAAAUGACCUGGCCGUCUUUUGGAAGCAGAAGUGUUCUUACGUGUGUGUGUGUGUGUGUGUGUGUGUGUGUGUGUGUGUGUGUGUGAAAUCUUAAGUGAGCCCACGCGGAUGGACGCUAAACUACCUGAACCAACUCUUUCUCCCCCUCCCCCCCCAUUUAAAAAACCACGGCCAUGACAUUAUAAUACACAGAGUACAAGAAAAGUUGAGAAAACAUUUCAGGUCUAAAUUUUCUUAAUAAUAAGAGAAAUAAAUAGAUUCCUUAUAUAGGAUCUUAAACCUUCCUUUGCCUUAACUUUCUUCAUUUUAUUGCCUUUCAGAAUAAUUUCCCUGAAAGAUUGAAUUUACAAUCUUCUGCUGAUUGAAACGUCUGAAGCGGUUUGAAUGAAGUACCAGAGAGGCAGUUUGUACAGCUGCAAAGGUGGCUUUGCUUGUUCCAGAAAAGAAAGGGUUUGGAUGUCUGCACGAGGCUUCAGGACAGGGGCGCGAAGCUCGGUGGAGAAGAUGGGCCAAGCGGUCCAGGAAGCGGGGCGCCAGGACGGUGGCGGUCAC